rnacentral:rRNA from 1 species
CCGCGGGAUUAGAGUUUGAUCCUGGCUCAGAACGAACGCUGGCGGCAUGCCUAACACAUGCAAGUCGAACGCUCUUGGGGCUUCGGUUCCAAGGGAGUGGCGCACGGGUGAGUAGCGCGUGGGAACCUGCCCUGGAGUGGGGGAUAACCGAGGGAAACUUCGGCUAAUACCGCAUGCGCCCGGGAAACCGGGGAAAGAUUUAUCGCUCUAGGAGGGGCCCGCGUCGGAUUAGCUAGUUGGUGGGGUAACGGCCUACCAAGGCUUUGAUCCGUAGCUGGUCUGAGAGGAUGAUCAGCCACACUGGGACUGAGACACGGCCCAGACUCCUACGGGAGGCAGCAGUGGGGAAUAUUGGACAAUGGGCGCAAGCCUGAUCCAGCAAUGCCGCGUGAGUGAUGAAGGCCUUCGGGUUGUAAAGCUCUUUCGCACGCGAGGAUGAUGACGCUAGCGUGAGAAGAAGCCCCGGCUAACUUCGUGCCAGCAGCCGCGGUAAUACGAAGGGGGCGAGCGUUGUUCGGAUUUACUGGGCGUAAAGGGCGCGUAGGCGGCGAUGUAAGUCAGGCGUGAAAGCCCCGGGCUCAACCUGGGAAUUGCGCUUGGGACUACCUUGCUGGAGUUCGGGAGAGGAGCGUGGAAUUCCCAGUGUAGAGGUGAAAUUCGUAGAUAUUGGGAAGAACACCGGUGGCGAAGGCGGCGCUCUGGACCGAUACUGACGCUGAGGCGCGAAAGCGUGGGGAGCAAACAGGAUUAGAUACCCUGGUAGUCCACGCUGUAAACGAUGUGUGCUAGACGUUGGGGAGCCUAGCUCUUCGGUGUCGCCGCUAACGCUGUAAGCACACCGCCUGGGGAGUACGGCCGCAAGGUUAAAACUCAAAGGAAUUGA